GGGGGGCUCGAGUAUCACUCCCAACCCAUGUGAACUUAUCUCUUUGUUGCCUCGGCGCAAGCUACCCGGGACCUCGCGCCCCGGGGGGCCCGCCGGCGGACAAACCAAACUCUGUUAUCUUCGUUGAUUAUCUGAGUGUCUUAUUUAAUAAGUCAAAACUUUCAACAACGGAUCUCUUGGUUCUGGCAUCGAUGAAGAACGCAGCGAAAUGCGAUAAGUAAUGUGAAUUGCAGAAUUCAGUGAAUCAUCGAAUCUUUGAACGCACAUUGCGCCCAUUAGUAUUCUAGUGGGCAUGCCUGUUCGAGCGUCAUUUCAACCCCUAAGCACAGCUUAUUGUUGGGACUCUACGGCUUCGUAGUUCCCCAAAGACAUUGGCGGAGUGGCAGCAGUCCUCUGAGCGUAGUAAUUCUUUAUCUCGCUUUUGUUAGGCGCUGCCCCCCCGGCCGUAAAACCCCCAAUUUUUUCUGGUUGACCUCGGAUCAGGUAGGAAUACCCGCUGAACUUAAGCAUAUCAAUAAGCGGAGGAA
rnacentral:rRNA from 1 species